GGACGAACGCUGGCGGCACGCUAACACAUGCAAGUCGAACGGAGUUAUCGGAGCUUGCUCUGGAUAACUUAGUGGCGGACGGGUGAGUAACACGUGAGCAACCUGCCUUCAAGAGCGGAAUAGCUUCUGGAAACGGAUGGUAAUACCGCAUAACAUUACCGGACCGCAUGAUCUGGUAAUCAAAGAUUUAUCGCUUGAAGAUGGGCUCGCGUCUGAUUAGAUAGUUGGUGGGGUAACGGCCUACCAAGUCGACGAUCAGUAGCCGGACUGAGAGGUUGAACGGCCACAUUGGGACUGAGACACGGCCCAGACUCCUACGGGAGGCAGCAGUGGGGAAUAUUGCACAAUGGGCGCAAGCCUGAUUGCAGCGAUGCCGCGUGGAGGAAGAAGGUUUUCGGAUUGUAAACUCCUUAUCUGAGGGACGAUAAUGACGGUACCUCAGGAGAAAGCUCCGGCUAACUACGUGCCAGCCGCGGC
rnacentral:rRNA from 1 species